rnacentral:rRNA from 1 species
GACGAACGCUGGCGGCGUGCCUAAUACAUGCAAGUUGAGCGCUGAAGGUUGGUACUUGUACCAACUGGAUGAGCAGCGAACGGGUGAGUAACGCGUGGGGAAUCUGCCUUUGAGCGGGGGACAACAUUUGGAAACGAAUGCUAAUACCGCAUAAAAACUUUAAACACAAGUUUUAAGUUUGAAAGAUGCAGUUGCAUCACUCAAAGAUGAUCCCGCGUUGUAUUAGCUAGUUGGUGAGGUAAAGGCUCACCAAGGCGAUGAUACAUAGCCGACCUGAGAGGGUGAUCGGCCACAUUGGGACUGAGACACGGCCCAAACUCCUACGGGAGGCAGCAGUAGGGAAUCUUCGGCAAUGGACGAAAGUCUGACCGAGCAACGCCGCGUGAGUGAAGAAGGUUUUCGGAUCGUAAAACUCUGUUGGUAGAGAAGAACGUUGGUGAGAGUGGAAAGCUCAUCAAGUGACGGUAACGACCCAGAAAGGGACGGCUAACUACGU